AGUUUAGAAAAAAAAUAUUUUAGGAUUUCAUUUUUUUUCCCAGAUUAAGACAAUGUAUGCCUGUAGCAUUAUUUAAGAAAAUGAUGUUUUUCUCUUUCAGACCCCAAUUUCCACUCAUUAUCAGAGAGCUGAAUUCUAAAUCAGAGACUGCGGAGGAAAGAUGUGCAACCUGAAUAAAACAUUUCCAGAAGAGCCUGAAUAAUGGUCCUGAAUAAAGGGAACUGAAAUGUUCUUGAAUUAUAAUUGGGAAAAAUUUAAGUAUGUGUACUCAAGAACACAUGUACUAAGAAGAGGGCAUUCAGAAAUUAGCAAACAAUUUGUCAGAUUUAUACAAGAUUACUGAGAAAUUGGAGAAGGGGAGUAAGGAUGGAAAGAUGAGGAAGACUAAAGAUCAGUGUCAGUCUCUGACUCCAAGGGCUUUAUGCUCCACAGGAUGAGAGAGUUCAUUCUUGGCUCGCUAGUCCCCCAGCAUGGUGGCAUUUGUUGCAGCUCACUGAAGGAGAGGUUUCUUUUUCUGAAUAUUUGCUGCUUUGAUUGUCCAGGCAAGAAACGGAAUUAUUUUGGAAAUACAUAA
rnacentral:lncRNA from 1 species